rnacentral:rRNA from 1 species
UGGGGAAUUUUGGACAAUGGGCGAAAGCCUGAUCCAGCAAUGCCGCGUGUGUGAAGAAGGCCUUCGGGUUGUAAAGCACUUUUGUCCGGAAAGAAAUCCUUGGCUCUAAUACAGUCGGGGGAUGACGGUACCGGAAGAAUAAGCACCGGCUAACUACGUGCCAGCAGCCGCGGUAAUACGUAGGGUGCAAGCGUUAAUCGGAAUUACUGGGCGUAAAGCGUGCGCAGGCGGUUUGCUAAGACCGAUGUGAAAUCCCCGGGCUCAACCUGGGAACUGCAUUGGUGACUGGCAGGCUAGAGUAUGGCAGAGGGGGGUAGAACUCCACGUGUAGCAGUGAAAUGCGUAGAGAUGUGGAGGAAUACCGAUGGCGAAGGCAGCCCCCUGGGCCAAUACUGACGCUCAUGCACGAAAGCGUGGGGAGCAAACAGGAUUAGAUACCCUGGUAGUCCACGCCCUAAACGAUGUCAACUAGUUGUUGGGGAUUCAUUUCCUUAGUAACGUAGCUAACGCGUGAAGUUGACCGCCUGGGGAGUACGGUCGCAAGAUUAAAACUCAAAGGAAUUGACGGGGUCAUAGCUGUUUCCU